UUGGCCACCCUAACCAAAAAGGCGUCAAGCUAGUGACGUUAAAGAAGCGCUUGUUGGGAGGCAACCCAAUUUUCUAUCAUUACUAUUUAAUUUUUGCAAUUUAUAAAUUUAGUAUAUUUAGGCAUGUUUUGAAAGGUUUUAAAUGAGCCAAAGUUGAACCAUCAUGACUAUUUUGUGUUCAAUAUCAUAUAAAUUCAGGUUAUGCUACUGUGGUUAGUGAAACUUGUUUUGAAAGAUCAAAUAUCUAGCUUGUGCAUGUCUUAAUUUUUUAUUUUAUUUUUUUAGUUUUCAUUUAACCACAAUUGACUCCUGUGUUUGGAAACUCUCAAGCUCAACAUGGUAAACUCUGUGGACCUUUUUCUCCUAACAUAAGGCUGAUAUGCUAUCUUUGCACAGUUUUACUGCAUACCCUUUGCUUUGAAUUGUCCUUGCUGAAUGCUAGAAUUGUUUUACUUAAAUUGAAGCAUGACUAGUGAGAAGUAGAUGAUACCUUUUAAAUUAUGGACUUAUGUCAAGGACUGUUUUCUCUUAGAUUGAAUGUUGAUUAUGUUUUUGUUGCUGCCCUGCUAUUCUUAAAAGCUUACCUUGUUAAUAUGUUCAACUUUGGAUUGCAUAUGAGUCCUCUUAAUGAUGUUUCUAUAAGAUUCUUAGUUCUAAUCAUUUAUUGAAACUCAUAUUACUUUUGUGCUUUGUUGGAACUAAGGGGCAGUACUCUCUCUUGUCACAUGAAUUUGAACUUAUAAGUAGUUAGAACUGUGGCUUGGUAUUGACAUGUUGAAUUUGUGGUUAGAAUCUUGUGAGUCUAAAUGUUGAUUACUUAGAAAAAUUGCUACUGAUAGAUUUGAGGUUGCUAGGUCAUUUUAAUUGUGAUGGACACUAUCAUGAAUGCUUCUAGUUACUUUUGAGGUCAGUGAGUUAUUGUUCCAUUGAAGCUGAAUAAUGCCAUUUCAUAGUGCAUUCAUGAUUAUGCAUAUGCAGCAAGGCACACCAAUUCCUUUUGCUCGGCCUACACUUGAGAUCUUUGCUGCAUUUGUUAAAUGGCCUGGGGUCAGUCCACAUGUACUGGAGGGGGCAGCUCAUCAAAAUGAUGUUGAAGUUGGAGAUAAUAAUGAGCAAGAUGGAGGAGAGCAUGGAGCUUAAAGCACGCCAAUCCCAGUGAACUUUUACAGUUUUUAUUAUUAUUAAUUCAGUCUUUAAUUUCAGUUGACUAAUUUUGAAUAUGUUAGAUUCAUGAUGUUUGUAAAAUUUUGAAUAUGUACUCUGAACAUGUGGUACUUGGUUUUUUUUUAUUUUUUUUAUUUUUUUUUUUUUGUUGAAUUAAAUGACAUUUGGUAAUUUAUAUUAUAUUAGUAAGUAGUUACUAUUGUGAAUAUUGUGAAUACUUUUUGAAAACAAGCUCACAUGUUUUUUUUUUGAAGAUCCGAAAGACAGGUUUGUGGUAAACCAAUGAGCAAACAUGAUAAUUUUGAUUUGUAGAGCUUUAUGUCAACUUUUGAUUAAUGUUUGAAAUAUGCUUAGGAACUUAACAUGUUCUUGAAUUGUAUUGUUUGUCCUAAGAUGAUUCUCAUUAUUUUUGUUGAACAUGAUUGAAGCUUGUGUUAUCCAAUCU
rnacentral:lncRNA from 1 species